rnacentral:tRNA from 1 species
AGUGUCACGUGGGGGACGAUCCAGUUGCUUUGAUGAAGCAGAGCUCAAAAUUAGAUUUUUGGCACUU